GACAAGACCCUUAUCAAAAAAACUGAUUUCUACAUGAGUAAAAAUCCCAAAUACUUUUCAACUUCAAUAGAGUGAACAAGUAGGUUAGAGGUCCUUCCAUUUUUGUUGGCAAUCACAAUGAUUGGAUUUGGAUCCGUGUUGUUCAUGGGAUUCAUCAUCUGGACAACUUUCACCGUGUCUUUAACGUUAGACUAUUUAGACCACUCAGUGGACGACUUCAAGAACAACAUAGAGAAAAAUUACGAUUUCUCAACUGCAGAUCAAUCAGAUAGGGCAGAAGAAAAAGAAAACGUCAAGAGAGUAGUUACAACUGCAAAAUCUGCUCAAACAGAAUAUAAAUGUCAGGACGAUAUUUGCUGGGAUUAGAAGAAGGGAAAAGGAAGGAGAAGCAUGGAUGAAAUAAUAUAUGAAAUAAAUAAAUAACCAGCAAAGGAGUUUGAAAUAUACUUCUAGCAUUUGUAGAUUAUUUAAAUUUACAUAUUGGCAUGUCUGUUGUUUAUCAAGUUAAUGUUAGUCAAGAAUAUUCAUACUUUCCAAGUCAAACUGAUAGAACGACUAAUUGUAAGCUAUAGUAUCUGUUAUGUCACAUCAACUAUCUCAGCAACAAAAAAUAACUUAAACAAUAUAAUCUUAGAAACUAAUGCAAUGUGUGACUGACUUAGAGAACUAAGUUCUUUAAAAAAAAAAUGGCGACAGCUGGUCCUUUCAGAUGGUAUUUCUGGUUCAGUAUUCAAUAGUCAAUAGAAAGUAAGUUGCCAUUUCAGUUUAACACAACUAAAAAGGGUACCUAUUAA